rnacentral:rRNA from 1 species
GACGAACGCUGGCGGCGUGCUUAACACAUGCAAGUCGAACGGUGAAGGGGCCUGCUUUUGUGGGUCCUGGAUGAGUGGCGAACGGGUGAGUAACACGUGAGUAACCUGCCCCCUUCUUCUGGAUAACCGCAUGAAAGUGUGGCUAAUACGGGAUAUUCUGUGCCUGCUGCAUGGUGGGUGUGGGAAAGAUUGCGCCCUUUUUGGGUGUUUUUGGUGGGGGAUGGGCUCGCGGCCUAUCAGCUUGUUGGUGGGGUGAUGGCCUACCAAGGCGGUGACGGGUAGCCGGCCUGAGAGGGUGGACGGUCACACUGGGACUGAGACACGGCCCAGACUCCUACGGGAGGCGCAGUGGGGAAUAUUGCACAAUGGGCGCAAGCCUGAUGCAGCGACGCCGCGUGAGGGAUGGAGGCCUUCGGGUUGUGAACCUCUUUCGCCAGUGAAGCAGGCCUGCUCCUUGGUGGGUGGGUUGACGGUAGCUGGAUAAGAAGC